rnacentral:misc_RNA from 1 species
UUUCCGUAGGUGAACCUGCGGAAGGAUCAUUACUGAGUUUUGAACGAAGUUGUCCUGGCCUUUCGGUGCAAGUGAACGCUUCUCUCAAUCCAUCUUACACCUGUGCACUUACCGGGGAUGACUUGGGUCUAAGUUGCGUCACGACGGCGAUCUACAUGCCCCUCUUUAUACCUAAUAACAGUUUUAGAAAGUCUUUUUUUCUUGAAGCAAACUAAAAUAAAUACAACUUUCAGCAACGGAUCUCUUGGCUCUC